CUCACUUGAGGUGGUAGUUGGCCCAGGUCUGGUAAUAUUCAGAGCGUAGGGUCCCGAAUCCUGUCCAGCGCUCGUUGCUCUUCAUCCAGAUCCCUCGGAUCCAGAGCUGUAAAGUUACUCAGUUUCUUGUCGUUUCGAGGUAGCUCGUUGUAGGCCCAAGGCUCCAGAUCAAAGUCACAGCCACCGAUUGACAUGCGGAUGGUAUUAUAGGCUAUGCCAUCUGGAUGAAAAUAGGAUCUGUCAAGGAGUUAGAGUUUAGUUUAUUUUUAAGAAUCAAUGUUAGAUUGCUGCUCACUUGUAGAUGUGAUCCUGGAGCUCUGUGGGCAGUUUCUUCAGCAAAUGGGAGACAGUGCCCGUGAAGGCUCCCCCAAAAACAGACACAUUCUGAAACCGCUUCUCCCUCUUCACAGAAAUUCGUACGGUGCUCACAGUUUUAGUCAAUUAGUUACAAAGCCGUUGCGAAAUAUUGCUCAACUGUAGCCAGGCUCUGUUUUCGUCCACAACUAUGGCAUCGGCCUUAAAGUUCUCAUCAGUGAACGGUUGGUCCUCCACUACUAUGGGCUUUCCAGAAGAUAAAUCUCCCACCGUUUGUUUAAAGCGCAAGCCAUCCUUUAUAUAAUUUAAUUUAGUAUUAUAAUAUUGUACUGAAGUAUUAUACAAUCGCCCGCAAUUGUGGCCAGAUAA